AGAGUUUGAUCCUGGCUCAGAGCGAACGCUGGCGGCAGGCCUAAUACAUGCAAGUCGAACGCACCUUCGGGUGAGUGGCGGACGGGUGAGUAACACGUGGGAACGUGCCCUUUGGUUCGGAAUAAUCCGGGGAAACCUGGCCUAAUACCGGAUGUGCCCUUCGGGGGAAAGAUUUAUCGCCAUUGGAGCGGCCCGCGUCUGAUUAGCUUGUUGGUGGGGUAAUGGCCCACCAAGGCUACGAUCAGUAGCUGGUCUGAGAGGAUGAUCAGCCACACUGGGACUGAGACACGGCCCAGACUCCUACGGGAGGCAGCAGUAGGGAAUCUUGCGCAAUGGGCGAAAGCCUGACGCAGCCAUGCCGCGUGAAUGAUGAAGGUCUUAGGAUUGUAAAAUUCUUUCAGCGGGGAAGAUAAUGACUGUACCCGCAGAAGAAGCUCCGGCUAACUUCGUGCCAGCAGCCGCGGUAAUACGAAGGGGGCUAGCGUUGCUCGGAAUUACUGGGCGUAAAGGGCGCGUAGGCGGGUGUUUAAGUCAGAGGUUAAAUCCCAGGGCUCAACCCUGGAACUGCCUUUGAUACUGGGCACCUAGAGUUCGGGAGAGGUGUGUGGAACUCCGAGUGUAGAGGUGAAAUUCGUAGAUAUUCGGAAGAACACCAGUGGCGAAGGCGACACACUGGCCCGAUACUGACGCUGAGGCGCGAAAGCGUGGGGAGCAAACAGGAUUAGAUACCCCUGUAGUCC
rnacentral:rRNA from 1 species